GAUGAACGCUGGCGGCGUGCCUAAUACAUGCAAGUCGAGCGAACAGACGAGGAGCUUGCUCCUCUGACGUUAGCGGCGGACGGGUGAGUAACACGUGGAUAACCUACCUAUAAGACUGGGAUAACUUCGGGAAACCGGAGCUAAUACCGGAUAAUAUAUUGAAUCGCAUGGUUCAAUAGUGAAAGACGGUUUUGCUGUCACUUAUAGAUGGAUCCGCGCCGCAUUAGCUAGUUGGUAAGGUAACGGCUUACCAAGGCAACGAUGCGUAGCCGACCUGAGAGGGUGAUCGGCCACACUGGAACUGAGACACGGUCCAGACUCCUACGGGAGGCAGCAGUAGGGAAUCUUCCGCAAUGGGCGAAAGCUUGACGGAGCAACGCCGCGUGAGUGAUGAAGGUCUUCGGAUCGUAAAACUCUGUUAUUGGGGAAGAACAAAUGUGUAAGUAACUAUGCACGUCUUGACGGUACCUAAUCAGAAAGCCACGGCUAACUACGUG
rnacentral:rRNA from 1 species